rnacentral:rRNA from 2 species
ACGCGACCCCAGGUCAGGCGGGGCUACCCGCUGAAUUU